AGUUUGAUCCUGGCUCAGGGUGAACGCUGGCGGCGUGCCUGACACAUGCAAGUCGCACGGACCGUACCGUAGUGGAAGGCCCGGACAGAGUGGGCGGUGAGAAAUCGCAAGAAGCUGUGAAAGGGUUAGAAGCUAGGGGAAAGGUUAGUGGCGGACGGGUGAAUAACACGUGGGUAAUCUGCCUCAAAGAGGGGAACAACUGUUGGAAACGGCAGCUAAUUCCGCAUAAUGUCCGGUCUUUAGUAGGCUGGAAGAAAGGGCUUCGGCCCGCUUUGAGAUGAGCCUGCGGCCGAUUAGCUAGUUGGUGAGGUAAAGGCUCACCAAGGCGACCAUCGGUAGCUGGUCUGAGAGGAUGAUCAGCCACACUGGGAUUGAGAACGGCCCAGACUUCUACGGAAGGCAGCAGUGAGGAAUAUUGCACAAUGGGGGAAACCCUGAUGCAGCAACGCCGCGUGAGGGAUGAAGGCUUUCGAGUUGUAAACCUCUUUUCUGGAGGAUGAGAGAGGACAGUACUCCAGGAACAAGUCUCGGCUAACUACGUGCCAGCAGCCGCGGUAAGACGUAGGAGGCGAGCGUUAUCCGGAUUUAUUGGGCGUAAAGGGCGAGUAGGCGGUUGAUUAAGUUGGACGUGACAUCUUCUGGCUCAACCAGGAGGGGUCGUUCAAAACUGGUCAACUAGGGGGCAGGAGAGGAAAGUGGAAUUCCCGAAGUAGCGGUGGAAUGCUCAGAUAUCGGGAGGAACACCAGUGGCGAAAGCGGCUUUCUGGCCUGACCCUGACGCUAAGGAGCGAAAGCUAGGGUAGCGAACGGGCUUAGAUACCCCGGUAGUCCUAGCUGUAAACGAUGGAUACUGGGUAUUGGGGGGUAGUACCCGCAGUGCCGAAGCAAACGCGUUAAGUAUCCCGCCUGGGGACUACGGCCGCAAGGCUAAAACUCAAAGGAAUUGACGGGGACCCGCACAAGCAGCGGAGCGUGUGGUUUAAUUCGAAGCAACACGAAGAACCUUACCUAGGCUUGACAUGUAUGUAGUAGCGAACCGAAAGGGGAGCGAGCCUUCGGGCAGCAUACACAGGUGCUGCAUGGCUGUCGUCAGCUCGUGCCGUGAGGUGUUGGGUUAAGUCCUUCAACGAGCGCAACCCUUGUUGCUAGUUACAGUAUUUCUAGCGAGACUGCCGGCGUCAAACCGGAGGAAGGUGGGGAUGACGUCAAGUCAGCAUGGCCUUUAUGUCUAGGGCUACACACACGCUACAAUGGCCGGUACAAAGGGCAGCGAAGCCGCGAGGUGGAGCGAAUCUCAUAAAGCCGGUCCCAGUUCGGAUUGCAGGCUGCAACCCGCCUGCAUGAAGUUGGAGUUGCUAGUAACCGCAGGUCAGCAAUACUGCGGUGAAUACGUUCCCGGGUCUUGUACACACCGCCCGUCACGUCAUGGGAGCUGGCAAUACCUGAAGUCGGCGAGCCGACCGCGAGGAGGCAGCCGCCGAAGGUAGGGCUAGUGACUGGGACGAAAGUCGUAACAA
rnacentral:rRNA from 1 species